GACGAACGCUGGCGGCGUGCUUAACACAUGCAAGUCGAACGGAAAGGCCCUGCUUGCUGGGUGCUCGAGUGGCGAACGGGUGAGUAACACGUAGGUGCACUGCCCCUUACUUUGGGAUAAGCCUGGGAAACUGGGUCUAAUACUGGAUAGGACCAUGCUGUAGGUGGUGUGGUGGAAAGUUUAGUUUCGGUUUGGGCUGAGCGCGCGGCCGAUCAGCUUUUUGGUGGGGUAAUGGUCUAGCCAGGCGUCGACGGGGAGCCGGCCUGAGAAGGUGGAGGGCGACAUUGGGACUAAGAUACGACGCGGGGUACUACGGGGGGCAGCAGUGGGGAGGAUUGGAGCAUGAGCGCGAGCCUGAUGCAGCAACGCCGCGGGGGGAAUGACGGCCAUCGGGUUGUAAACGCCUUUUAUCAAUGACGAAGGCCAUGUGGUGACGGUAGUGGAAGAAGAAGCACCGGCUAACUACGUG
rnacentral:rRNA from 1 species